CCUACGGGAGGCUGCAGUGAGGAAUAUUGGUCUAUGGACGCAAGUCUGAACCAGCCAUGCCGCGUGCAGGAAGACGGCUCUAUGAGUUGUAAACUGCUUUUGUACGAGGGUAAACGCAGAUACGCGUAUCUGUCUGAAAGUAUCGUACGAAUAAGGAUCGGCUAACUCCGUGCCAGCAGCCGCGGUAAUACGGAGGAUUCAAGCGUUAUCCGGAUUUAUUGGGUUUAAAGGGUGCGUAGGCGGUCGGAUAAGUUAGAGGUGAAAUCCCGAGGCUCAACUUCGGAAUUGCCUCUGAUACUGGUCGGCUAGAGAGUAGUAGAGGUAGGCGGAAUGUAUGGUGUAGCGGUGAAAUGCUUAGAGAUCAUACAGAACACCGAUUGCGAAGGCAGCAUACCGGCGCUCGACUGACGCUCAUGCACGAAAGUGUGGGUAUCGAACAGGAUUAGAUACCCUAGUAGUC
rnacentral:rRNA from 1 species